GGACGUGUAGCACAGUGGCAGUGCGUGGGACUGCAAAUCCCGAGGUCAUGAGUUCAAUCCUCAUCGCGUCCU